AACGAACGCUGGCGGCAGGCUUAACACAUGCAAGUCGAGCGAGACCUUCGGGUCUAGCGGCGGACGGGUGAGUAACGCGUGGGAACGUGCCCUUCUCUACGGAAUAGCCCCGGGAAACUGGGAGUAAUACCGUAUACGCCCUUUGGGGGAAAGAUUUAUCGGAGAAGGAUCGGCCCGCGUUGGAUUAGGUAGUUGGUGGGGUAAUGGCCCACCAAGCCGACGAUCCAUAGCUGGUUUGAGAGGAUGAUCAGCCACACUGGGACUGAGACACGGCCCAGACUCCUACGGGAGGCAGCAGUGGGGAAUCUUAGACAAUGGGGGCAACCCUGAUCUAGCCAUGCCGCGUGAGUGAUGAAGGCCUUAGGGUUGAAAAGCUCUUUCAGCUGGGAAGAUAAUGACGGUACCAGCAGAAGAAGCCCCGGCUAACUCCGUG
rnacentral:rRNA from 1 species